GUAAGGUCAAGUUGACUAGUACAUAAUGAUAACUAAUUGGCUAGACAGGGUAAUAAAGAUUCCAUAGUGGUUUAGUAGCUGAAGUUUCCGAGAACCUUUCAAAGGCAGCAUGUUGCAGUAAUCUUAAUAGCAUGUAGGUAAGGCAUGAGCAACUGUGGCCAGAUCAGACAUCUUCAGGAACAGGAGAUCCAACUCUACCCCAUAUCAUGGAAAGAGAAGCAGAAGAUUAAGGUCCAUAGGCCUGGAUGAAGAAGAACUUUGACUGGUGACUAAGAAACAGAUAGUGAUGGCACCAGACCAUUAGAUUAUGACAGGACCUAGAUUAUUAUUUUAGAGUAUUACGGUAAAUCCUUAACAUUAAUGUGGACAGCAAAAUAAAUUACACUAAUUUGGUAGGGUGGGUGAGGGCUCAAGGUAGGCUUCUGGUGAGGAGACUGAAACCACUUUCUCUUCCUUUGGCCCUCCUGUUGCACCACUGUGAGCAAAGCCAUAGUUUCAUCCAAACCUUGGACAAAGCCAGAGUUUAGCAUUGAAUUGCAAUGAUGUGACCAAGAAGUAAAGCAGUGAGCUGGAGAGAGAAUCAGAGCAACAUCUGUGAGUAAUGUUUGAUUUCUGUUCUAAUCCAAGGCUGUGGGCUAUGGGAGAAACAAGACCUUUUGGGGGUGUUAAUGCUGUGAACCCCUCCAUUGUAGGCUCAGGUUGUAUAUAUGUGUAAAUAAAUCAUAUAUCAUAAUGACACCACAGUCUCUGUGUGACUUAUUCCAAAUGGAAACACGAACCCUGAGUAAGUGCCUUGGACUUCUGGAAUCAAGCACCACCCAGCGAUUGGGGUGGCAUUCGGCAAUAAGUAUACAAGACAGAACUGGAACAUGGAAGAGAUCUGAAAAACUCUCUAUGUCCAGAAUGGAAAUUUCACUAGCUUCGAUUCCUUUAGGGAACACUUCUGUUUUCAUUUUUAUUCCAGGAUUAUUAAGUACACUGGACCUUUCUUGGUUUGAUCUAUGGCUCAAGUUUUCAUAGUGAAUGUGACUCCUUUGAUGAAAUUCUUCUUUGCCUUCUAAAUAAAGAUUAUUACAGCUCGAGGUCAAUUCAGGUUGCACUUCUGUUUAAAGGACUGCUGCUUCAGGGAAUCAUUUGGGAAGAGAAUAUUUUUGCAAGACAUAAAUCAACUCUCCUUAAUUCAACUUUUAAGAAAAAAAACACACAAAAAACUUUUGGACGAUGGCUCCUAUAAAUCCGAAUGUGAUUUUAUUCUUGCCCUUUGGCUAAUAUUUAAUAUUGAAUAGAUUUAUCUAGGUUUCACUGCAGGUUAAGGCCACUGCAGAUUAAGUUAGAGGCCCCAGGACAGUCUGGCCUUUUGAGUAAUGCCAUCAUAUUUUGCUCUGUAAGGCGACAUACACACAUAUAUACAAAUGAAAUAUGGACUGCAGAAUAUUCCAAGUCAAACUCGAUCACGUAGUAUCUCUGUAUAGAGCUGCAAGCAGUUAGCAUUCUUGCUUACCAAUGAUGCGAGUAAGCUGGAUCUAAAGUGAUAUAGGCAGCACUCUGUUCAUGCAUGGGUGUGUUCGAGUUUUCCCUCCUGUGCCAACUCCAAAGUAGCACCCUAUGUACAACAAAUAUCUAUUGCAACAAUCAAGUAUUCCCCCCUCCUCCAUAGACAUGUGGAAGCAUUUUCCACAGAGGUAGGGUUGCGAAACAGGAUUGAAGCCAGUCCUAAGCCAGUAAUGUUUUCUUGCAUUGUGCACCAGUAUGUAACCUGAUCAUUAUUUAUGAGUCACAACAUUUUCUUAUAUUAUUGUCAUGAAGUGGAAGGACAUUCGAAAACCUUGCAAAAGAAAACCCAGCUCCUAUAUUCCAGUUCAGCUGUACUGAGCAUGUGCACUUCAGGGAAGGGCCAUUGCUGAGUAGAUAGAUAGAUGAUAGAUAGAUAGAUGAUAGAUAGAAAACCAUUGUAGAUUUCUGUAUGCUUCUUGAGAUGUUUGUUAGUUUGAACUACUGCCAAGGACACAUGUGGAUAAAUGAAACAUGUAAUUCAAUAUUUAUUGACUGCCCUGACUAGUGGUUUUAUAUGUGGCUUUUGUUUGUGUUUGUUUUAAAUACGGCAUUCUUUUGAUUAAUGGGAUAUUUCCUUGAUUUCUAGGUAAACCACUUUGUGGCCAUCUAUGGUGAAUAUUGAAAAUAAAUAUCAUCUUCUGUCUGCUGUGGAAAA